GAUGAACGCUGGCGGCGUGCCUAAUACAUGCAAGUCGAGCGAACAGACGAGGAGCUUGCUCCUCUGACGUUAGCGGCGGACGGGUGAGUAACACGUGGAUAACCUACCUAUAAGACUGGGAUAACUUCGGGAAACCGGAGCUAAUACCGGAUAAUAUAUUGAACCGCAUGGUUCAAUAGUGAAAGACGGUUUUGCUGUCACUUAGAGAUGGAUCCGCGCCGCAUUAGCUAGUUGGUAAGGUAACGGCUUACCAAGGCGACGAUGAGUAGCCGACCUGAGAGGGUGAUCGGCGACACUGGAACUGAGACACGGCCCAGACUCCUACGGGAGGCAGCAGUAGGGAAUCUUCCGCAAUGGGCGAAAGCCUGACGGAGCAACGCCGCGUGAGUGAUGAAGGUCUUCUGAUCGUAAAACUCUGUUAUUAGGGAAGAACAAAUGUGUAAGUAACUAUGCACGUCUUGACGGUACCUAAUCAGAAAGCCACGGCUAACUACGUG
rnacentral:rRNA from 1 species